UACGGAGGGUGCAAGCGUUGUCCGGAUUUAUUGGGUUUAAAGGGUGCGUAGGCGGCCUUAUAAGUCAGUGGUGAAAUACGACAGCUUAACUGUCGAACUGCCAUUGAUACUGUAGGGCUUGGGUACAGACGAGGUAGGCGGAAUUGAUAGUGUAGCGGUGAAAUGCAUAGAUACGAGGAAGAACACCGAUUGCGAAGGCAGCUUACUAGGCUGUAACUGACGCUGAGGCACGAAAGCGUGGGGAGCAAACAGG
rnacentral:rRNA from 1 species